GACAGAGGGUGCAAACGUUGUUCGGAAUUACUGGGCGUAAAGCGCGUGUAGGCUGCCUUGUAAGUCGGAUGUGAAAGCCCCCGGGCUCAACCUGGGAAGUGCAUUCGAAACUGCGAGGCUUGAGUCCUGGAGAGGAAGGCGGAAUUCUCGGUGUAGAGGUGAAAUUCGUAGAUAUCGAGAGGAACACCGGUGGCGAAGGCGGCCUUCUGGACAGUGACUGACGCUGAGGAGCGAAAGCGUGGGGAGCGAACAGG
rnacentral:rRNA from 1 species